GACGAACGCUGGCGGCGUGCUUAACACAUGCAAGUCGAACGGAAAGGCCCUGCUUUUGUGGGGUGCUCGAGUGGCGAACGGGUGAGUAACACGUGAGUAACCUGCCCUUGACUUUGGGAUAACUUCAGGAAACUGGGGCUAAUACCGGGUAGGAGCUCCUGCUGCAUGGUGGGGGUUGGAAAGUUUCGGCGGUUGGGGAUGGACUCGCGGCUUAUCAGCUUGUUGGUGGGGUAGUGGCUUACCAAGGCUUUGACGGGUAGCCGGACUGAGAGGGUGACCGGCCACAUUGGGACUGAGAUACGGCCCAGACUCCUACGGGAGGCAGCAGUGGGGAAUAUUGCACAAUGGGCGGAAGCCUGAUGCAGCAACGCCGCGUGCGGGAUGACGGCCUUCGGGUUGUAAACCGCUUUCGCCUGUGACGAAGCGUGAGUGACGGUAAUGGGUAAAGAAGCACCGGCUAACUACGUG
rnacentral:rRNA from 1 species